UGCGUAGGCGGACUAUUAAGUCAGAUGUGAAAUUCCAGGGCUUAACCCUGGAACUGCAUUUGAAACUGAUAGUCUAGAGUGCAGGAGAGGAAAGCGGAAUUCCUAGUGUAGCGGUGAAAUGCGUAGAUAUUAGGAAGAACACCAGUGGCGAAGGCGGCUUUCUGGACUGUAACUGACGCUGAGGCACGAAAGCGUGGGGAGCAAACAGGAUUAGAUACCCUGGUAGUCCACGCUGUAAACGAUGAGUGCUAGGUGUAGGGGGUGUCAUGCCUUCUGUGCCGCAGUAAACGCAAUAAGCACUCCGACCUGGGGAGUACGGUCGCAAGACUAAA
rnacentral:rRNA from 1 species